AACGAACGCUGGCGGCAGGCCUAACACAUGCAAGUCGAACGAGAAGCCACCUUCGGGUGGUGGACAGUGGCAGACGGGUGAGUAACGCGUGGGAACGUGCCUUUCGGUUCGGAAUAACCCAGGGAAACUUGGGCUAAUACCGGAUACGCCCUUCGGGGGAAAGAUUCAUUGCCGAAAGAUCGGCCCGCGUCGGAUUAGCUAGUUGGUGGGGUAAUGGCCCACCAAGGCGACGAUCCGUAGCUGGUCUGAGAGGAUGACCAGCCACACUGGGACUGAGACACGGCCCAGACUCCUAUGGGAGGCAGCAGUGGGGAAUAUUGGACAAUGGGCGAAGGCCUGAUCCAGCCAUGCCGCGUGGGUGAAGAAGGCCUUAGGGUUGUAAACCCCUUUCAGCGGGGAAGAUAAUGACGGUACCCGCAGAAGAAGUCCCGGCUAACUCCGUGCCAGCCGCCGCCGUAAUAC
rnacentral:rRNA from 1 species